UGACAUGAAGGAAGAUAGAGGUCAUGUUGAUGGGCUGUUUAAAUGUUGCUCUGAUCAUAUCUUUUAUUUCCGUGGGGAAAAAGAGAAGAGGGCAAUAGGCAGGAACAAAAAAUAGGAAGAGAAAAUACAAUAAAAGAGGCCUCCUAUUGACCAAACCUAAGAGGAAGCCCGUUGUCAAUGGAACCUGGGAAAUAGUUGCAUGGAUCAGUUUCCUGUAACGCAGAGUAGAAGAGGGUUUUGAAUGGAUCUUAGAGACAAAUGAAAGAGCAUGGGAACGUGAGAGAAGGCUGGCAUUAUGGACUAGUGAAAAGUCUCAAGAAUUGUAGAAUACUUGAAAAGGAAUGUGGAUUUAUUAUUUGAAAGUGCAUACCAUAUUAGACAUUUUGUUUAGGGUUCUGAGGUUGUCCUAAGAAGAAAGGCCAGGACUUUGGAUUUGAUGCCCAGAGACUCUAGGUGCUGCUUUCUGUACUAUAUAAUCGAUGGCAUCAAAGAUAUCAAUCAAGUUAGGGCAACCUUUU
rnacentral:lncRNA from 1 species